rnacentral:rRNA from 1 species
UUAGCCCUAAACACAAAUAAUUACAAAACAAAAUUAUUCGCCAGAGAACUACAGGCAACUGCCUAAAACUCAAAGGACUUGGCGGUGCUUUAUACCCUUCUAGAGGAGCCUGUUCUAUAAUCGAUAAACCCCGAUAAACCUCACCAGUCCUUGCUAAUACAGUCUAUAUACCGCCAUCUUCAGCAAACCCUAAAAAGGAACAAAAGUAAGCACAAUCAUAACACAUAAAAACGUUAGGUCAAGGUGUAACCUAUGGAUUGGGAAGAAAUGGGCUACAUUUUCUACUUCAAGAAAACCUAGUACGAAAGUCAUUAUGAAACUAAUGACCAAAGGAGGAUUUAGUAGUAAACUAAGAAUAGAGUGCUUAGUUGAAUUAGGCCAUGAAGCACGC